GGGCCCGUGGGGUAGCUUGGUAUCCUUGUAGCUUGGGGUGCUAUUGACUCCAGUUCAAAUCUGGACGGGCCCA
rnacentral:tRNA from 1 species